AAUAGAUACCCCCGGUAGUCCACGCCGUAAACGAUCGAGUGCUAAGUGGUUAGAAGGGGUUUCCGCCCCUUUAGUGGCUGCAGCUAACGCAUUAAGCACUCCGCCUGGGGAGUACGGCCGCAAGGCUGAAACUCAAAGGAAUUGAUGGGGGCCCGCACAAGCGGUGGAGCAUGUGGUUUAAUUCGAAGCAACGCGAAGAACCUUACCAGGUCUUGACAUCCUCUGCCAACCCUAGAGAUAGGGCGUUCCCCUUCGGGGGACAGAGUGACAGGUGGUGCAUGGUUGUCGUCAGCUCGUGUCGUGAGAUGUUGGGUUAAGUCCCGCAACGAGCGCAACCCUUGAUCUUAGUUGCCAGCAUUCAGUUGGGCACUCUAAGGUGACUGCCGGUGACAAACCGGAGGAAGGUGGGGAUGACGUCAAAUCAUCAUGCCCCUUAUGACCUGGGCUACACACGUGCUACAAUGGAUGGUACAAAGAGCUGCGAACCCGCGAGGGUAAGCCAAUCUCAUAAAGCCAUUCUCAGUUCGGAUUGU
rnacentral:rRNA from 1 species